UUAUGUUUACAAAUUAGGAUACUGGAAGCCACACACACACAGACAUAAAGGUCACCAUUACCGAACCCCACCAAUAUUAUCGGUUCAUCAGAUGGAUAAACCAUGAGCAACAGUCCUACACGUUGCAUUCUUUAGGUGGAGUAAAUAAAUUAACCUAAUUGCCCUCCAAUAGGUUUUUGCAUACAAAAUCAUCCUUCUUUCUAAUUAACCAAAAUGAAAAUGGAACAUCAAAGACAUUUCUGUGAUUCUGUAGGUGGCUUUCGUAUGGUUCGAAACCGGUCUCAUUGACCCAACUUGUAAUCUGGUGAAAGAAAGGGAAAUGAGUUUGAACGGUUCUUAUCUAACCGUUUUACUACAACUCCUGUUUCCGUGUAUGAUGUUGUGUUUGUUAUUUUGUAUGGUAUAUAAAAGUGGUUGCUUGAGUUGGGUUUUUUUAGCUAAUUUUUUUCCUUCUUAAAAGAUAUGCAGAAAACUUGUAUAAAAGAUCAUACAGCUCUGCCUGCCUCCUGUUACCAUCAUUCUGAUACGCUUAGGAAAGUUAUUGUAUUUUUCUCUUUGGUUUUAUGAUUCUUGCUAUGUCGAAGCCUUAAAACUAUAUGAUUAUGAGUUCCUCAUCAAAUUUAGGAUUUAGUAUUCUCUUGUGUUGCUCAAAACUCAUAGGUUUGAAGGUGCACUCCAACUGCUCGAUUAAAUGCUUCAACCAAAACUUCUGUAUGUUAGUUCUGGUAUGAUUACUGUUGUACGUAAUCUCCUUCUUGUGAUACCAUAUGUGGACUGCUUCCUCUUGAGAUUUUUUUAACAUUAUAAUUAAUUCAAUCUUUUUACUAUUUAGUGUAUUUUUUCCAUCAUCAGUUUCUAUUAUUUAACUAUGAUGUACUAUACAUACUUACAUACUCUGCUUGGAUUUUUAGUAAGUUUAAAACAUAUUUUGACUAAACAAUAUUUCAUGACGAAUAAUAGUCAGCUUGUUCGCUGUGAUAUACAUAACGUUUUUAUCCGUUUCUUCAUUGGAGAAAGUUCAGUUGUUCUGUGCAGCUGCUAUAUAAAUUACUACAUUAUAUAUGAUGCUUUUUCUGCUGUUUUAUCUCUUUUACUAGUCAAAUUGUGGACCCUGAAGGACCUGCUAUAUUAUUUCUUUGAUUGGUUAAUGGUUACCUAAUGUUAUUCUUGUGGUUCCUUCCAAUCAGAUGAUGAGGAGUGGCGUUUCUUAUUUUUGUGUUGUUGCCAUAGUUGUCAAAAGCAGUUGCUGUGGUCGAUAAUUUGUUGCUCAAGCACUAAAUGAUAAAAGCCAGGAAGUUCUUUCAAAUCCUUGAAACAGGAAUUGAUGACGUGGGUAGUUCAAGCUUAAUAAACUUGCUAGAAUGCAAUACAACUUAAAGGGUUCGGAAUUGACCAACUGUCGUGAACAGCAAAAAGCACAAGACAGUGACCGGUCACAUCACACUUUACGUGUGAACUCUCUCACUCAGCCGCAAAAGGAGCAUUUGGGAGAAUACAUCCUUUUACCCACAGGUCCAAAACCUUUUACCUACCAAAAAGGGAAAGCCCUCCACUGCAGUCAUGGAUCAUUAGUCAAAGGUUUCUUCUUGUGGCUAGCCCUUCCUCUAUAAAUGACAACACCUUGUCAUUCAGCUAUACACUCCUGAAUCUCACAUCUCAUCUCUAGAACUUGCUCCUUACAUGUCUAUUCUUCACCCACUUUAAUACAAUCACAUUACACACAAACAUUCUGGGUUGAAUUUUCUUCAAUCCAGAAUUCAAAGCAAACAAUAACAAAGUUAUCCAACCCUACGUAUUUGCAUACGUAGGGGUACCCCGCGAUCUGCGUUAGGCAAACCGAAACCCUUGAACCCUUUUGCCUAACCCGUCCAUUCACUAUCUUUGGUCUUAUAUUUGUUGUAGCAACAGGAAUUAAUGACCUUAAUGAGGAAACAUAGAUGCUUUAUAACAAACAUGUCAGCUAUCAUGAAUCUAUCAACUUAUUUUGCUGACAUUGUUUAGCAUAGUUGUUUGUGUUGUUACAUGUUUUGCUGAACCCGAUCUAGGUUGCGUGCGUUUAGCUUCAGAGCUUAAUCAUAUCAUGCGUUGAUUGAGUGGGUUGUUUUCUAUGUGCUAUGGAUUGUAUAAAGAGUGUUUAGGAUGCUAUUUUUUACGUUUGAAUCUAUAUACUUCAGAAAUUUGAGAAUGCAUCUUCCUUAAUCAUGGUUAAUAACUUUUGUUUGUAACGGCAGGACUGAGUUGUAUGGAGAACUGUUUUAACAUACAGUUUGUUUAAAAAAAGCGUGUAAUUGAUCUGAUGUAAUGCAAACUAUAUGUUAUAGGUGAAAUGCCGUAACAGUUUUUUAUUGUUUGAAACUAGAAUUAUAUAAGAAUAAAACUUCCCUUUCCUUUUUGUGCCCCCCUCUUGUUCGUUUCUUACAAUUAUUUUAUUCAAACAAAACAUGAGCAUUGUCAUGUAUGGAUAUAUAUUAAGGCACAUAUUGAGAAUAUAAACAUAAUUUAUAUAUGUAUCUUUUUCAAAAUCAUUGAAUAAAUAGCCUUACACAUUAGAAACAUACUUUUUGCUAUGAAACACAAAGUUCUAGUACAAAUGAACUUUUCUUGAAACAAUAGAAUUUAACAACAAUCAACAUUGAAAAACGUACUUUAUCUAUGAAACAUAUAUAGAAUAUUAUAGUAUCUUUGAAGCACAUGAUGCAUGUUCACCGUCCCUGAAAACAUCCAAUGAAGAAGGGUAUCUA